rnacentral:piRNA from 1 species
UGAAAGUGCCGUAUGCUGAAGCCACAGU